GAUUCUGGCUCAGGAUGAACGCUGGCGGCGUGCUUAACACAUGCAAGUCAAGCGAAGCAUAAAAACAGAUUCUUCGGAAUGAAAUUUUAUGACUGAGCGGCGGACGGGUGAGUAACGCGUGGGUGACCUGCCUCAUACAGGGGGAUAACAGACAGAAAUGUCUGCUAAUACCGCAUAAGCGCACGGUGCUGCAUGGCACAGUGUGAAAAACUCCGGUGGUAUGAGAUGGACCCGCGUCUGAUUAGCUAGUUGGUAAGGUAACGGCUUACCAAGGCGACGAUCAGUAGCCGGCCUGAGAGGGUGAACGGCCACAUUGGGACUGAGACACGGCCCAAACUCCUACGGGAGGCAGCAGUGGGGAAUAUUGCACAAUGGGGGAAACCCUGAUGCAGCGACGCCGCGUGAAGGAAGAAGUAUUUCGGUAUGUAAACUUCUAUCAGCAGGGAAGAAAAUGACGGUACCUGACUAAGAAGCCCCGGCUAACUACGUGCCAGCAGCCGC
rnacentral:rRNA from 1 species